rnacentral:rRNA from 1 species
UGGGUAACCUGCCUCAAAGAGGGGAAUAGCCUCCUGAAAGGGAGAUUAAUACCGCAUAAUAUGUUUAAGUCGCAUGACUUUAACAUCAAAGGAUUUUCUUUUAGAAAUUCCACUUUGAGAUGGACCCGCGGCGCAUUAGCUAGUUGGUGAGGUAACGGCUCACCAAGGCAACGAUGCGUAGCCGACCUGAGAGGGUNAUCGGCCANAUUGGAGCUGAGGCACGGUCCAGAUCCGUACGGGG